AUUGAACGCUGGCGGCAGGCCUAACACAUGCAAGUCGAGCGGAUGAGUGGAGCUUGCUCCAUGAUUCAGCGGCGGACGGGUGAGUAAUGCCUAGGAAUCUGCCUGGUAGUGGGGGACAACGUUUCGAAAGGAACGCUAAUACCGCAUACGUCCUACGGGAGAAAGUGGGGGAUCUUCGGACCUCACGCUAUCAGAUGAGCCUAGGUCGGAUUAGCUAGUUGGUGAGGUAAAGGCACACCAAGGCGACGAUCCGUAACUGGUCUGAGAGGAUGAUCAGUCACACUGGAACUGAGACACGGUCCAGACUCCUACGGGAGGCAGCAGUGGGGAAUAUUGGACAAUGGGCGAAAGCCUGUUCCAGCCAUGCCGCGUGUGUGAAGAAGGUCUUCGGAUUGUAAAGCACUUUAAGUUGGGAGGAAGGGCAGUAAGUUAAUACCUUGCUGUUUUGACGUUACCAACAGAAUAAGCACCGGCUAACUUCGUGCCAGCCGCCGCAGUAAUAC
rnacentral:rRNA from 1 species